GGGCCCGCACAAGCGGUGGAGCAUGUGGUUUAAUUCGAUGAUACGCGAGGAACCUUACCAGGGCUUAAAUGUAGUAUGACCGGUCUAGAAAUAGGCCUUCUCUUCGGAGCAGAUUACAAGGUGCUGCAUGGUUGUCGUCAGCUCGUGCCGUGAGGUGUUAGGUUAAGUCCUGCAACGAGCGCAACCCCUAUUCUUAGUUGCCAGCGGUUCGGCCGGGGACUCUAAGAAGACUGCCAGCGCAAGCUGAGAGGAAGUGGGGAUGACGUCAAAUCAUCACGGCCCUUACGUCCUGGGGCUACACACGUGCUACAAUGGUACAGACAGAGGGCAGCAAGUUCGCGAGGACAAGCAAAUCCCAUAAACGUGGCUC
rnacentral:rRNA from 1 species